rnacentral:ribozyme from 1 species
GGGUGAGGGCUCCGUGCACUUCUUGGGCUGCGCGACAAGCGCGUAGUCCGAAGUUGUCGCGCAGAAAGUGCACGGAGUAAACCCACGGAUCGGUCCCAAGUCCGA